UCUCAGCAGCAGAAUGUAAAGCAGGAGACUGUAGACUGAUGUAGACAACAAGAAAGCAGGCCUUCUAUGUGCCAGCACCGAAGGAGCUUCUGUCAUCACAAUCUGCCUGUGACAUGCAGGAUCUCACUGCACAGACCUUGGACUUACUAUGCAUUCCAAGGUGGCCCUGAAUGCCCAGAAAUCUGCCUAUGUCUGUUUCCAAGUGCUGGGAUUAAAGGCUCCAGCUGCCUGUACUCCACUGCUGCUGCUGUUCUUGA